rnacentral:rRNA from 1 species
UACGUAGGGUGCAAGCGUUGUCCGGAAUUAUUGGGCGUAAAGAGCUCGUAGGCGGUCUGUCGCGUCGGCUGUGAAAACCCGGGGCUCAACCCCGGGCCUGCAGUCGAUACGGGCAGACUAGAGUGUGGUAGGGGAGACUGGAAUUCCUGGUGUAGCGGUGAAAUGCGCAGAUAUCAGGAGGAACACCGGUGGCGAAGGCGGGUCUCUGGGCCAUAACUGACGCUGAGGAGCGAAAGCGUGGGGAGCAAACAGG